GUCCUCGCUUCAACUGCACAUAUACUAAAAUUGGAACGAUUCAGAGAAGAUUAGUACGGCCCCCGCACAAGGAUGACACGCAAGUUCAUGAAGCGUUCCUUAUUUUU
ensembl:snRNA U6 U6 spliceosomal RNA